AUUGAACGCUGGCGGCAGGCCUAACACAUGCAAGUCGAACGAGUGGCGGACGGGUGAGUAAUGUCUGGGAAACUGCCUGAUGGAGGGGGAUAACUACUGGAAACGGUAGCUAAUACCGCAUACCAUCAGAUGUGCCCAGAUGUGAUUAGCUUGUUGGUGGGGUAACGGCUCACCAAGGCGACGAUCCCUAGCUGGUCUGAGAUGAUGACCAGCCACACUGGAACUGAGACACGGGCCAGCCUCCUGCGGGAGGCAGCAGAGGGGAAUAUUGCAAAGUGGGCGCAGGCGUGAUGCAGCCAGGCCGCGUGUAUGAAGAAGGCCUUCGGGUUGUAAGGUACUUUCAGCGGGAAGGCGUUACCCGCAGAAGAAGCACCGGCUAACUCCGUGCCAGCAGCCGCGGUAAUUC
rnacentral:rRNA from 1 species